AAAUUCCAAUAAAUUUGGAGCUUGAAUUGUGACUUCUUCCAGACUCCUUAACUCUGAUAAGGUGAAUUUCUUGAGUUUUUCACUCUGAAUCUCGAUAUUCUUCAACUUAUAGCAUCUUGUUAGAUUCAAUUCUGAAAUGUUUGGGAACUUAUAGAAUACACAUCUCGAAACUGUUGGUCUGUGAUGCUGGCACCAUUGAGGUCGAGUGUUUGUAAAGUAUUGUAACCAUCCAAAAUAGCAAUUUCGCAAGGAUGAUUAGUACGUUCUCCAUAUUUAAAGCAUUUAAGAUUUGGGGCCUGGACCACAGCAAUCCAGAUGUACUUGCAAUUUGUUUAUUCCUCGGCAAUCGACUAGGGAUAGAUUCCUGAUGGACGGGGAUCUAUCCAUAAGUCUUUGCAAUUGAGCAUCUGAAAUAUAGACAGCAUGAUGCAAAUGAAGAGUCUCAAGACAAUCAAAACUUAUGUUGUCAGCUUUUUAGCAUCAUAAUAACAACAUCAGGUAACUUAAGAAGGGAGGGCAAAUGUCCAGUACUGUUUAACCGCCAAUUCAAUCCAAGUAUCCAGGUGGGAAUUCACUUUUGGAUCACAAUAUGCAAGGAUGAGCUCUUGAAGAUGUAAGUUUUGUUCGAUUAUAAUUGGUAUUAUAGUUUUGUGAUUGAUGGAAUAUGAGAUUAGGUCUAGAAGACCAACAAUAGUACCAUCUCGCCACCUCUUUCAGGUCGAGGCUAGUGCGGCAUAAGAUUUGAUGAAUGAUAUGCACAGGUAAUUCUGAUAUGAUCUGUCUUGUCCAUAAACUAUUUUCGCCAUAUUGCUGGUGCCGUCGUAUGUCCUGUUUAAGGGUUUUAUUAGUGAGAAUUGAUGACUAAAAGGCUCCAUUAUAUAUUAAGUGAAUAGCCACUUUUAACAUGACCUAUUGUCAAAUAGUAGCCACUAUUAAUAUUCAGUCACUCUUUUGACCAUUUGCCAUCUCUUCUUUUGAAACCAAGCCAUAUUCUUUCUUGUUUGAAAAAAGUUGCUUGAUUGAACAAGCCUACAUAUAAUAUCCCAACGAAAGAAAUGCCAUGGGAGUUUAUGUAUGAGAAUCCAAACCUACUCGAGAGGAUCUUGAUUCUAAAGAACUUUGAAGAAUAAAUAAAAACUAGAGUUAAUAAGAUUUUAAUUCAAUGGAUGCAAAAUCUUUUAAUGGAAACGAAAACGACAUGCUAGUGUGGAAGCCGUCCUCUUCAGAUGAGUUAUUGUUGUUUACAGAUCACAAUCCAUCUGCUUCAUUAUUAAGGUUAUUUGCAUGAGUUCAUAACAGAGUGUUACUUUCCAUUUUUCAAGUUAUGUUCAAUUUCCUGAUUUCUACAUACAAGGAAGGCGUGCGUCUAUCUGUCUACAAGCUUAUACAACUCCGAAUACCUCUAUCUUUGCAGCCCAGAAUAUUAUAUUUUCCAAUUCAUCUACACAUUCAUAACCAUCGAUACUAAAGAUAGACUGCGCAAAAUCUAUUUCAUUGCAAGUAUAAAUGUGUAAUCAAAGUUGGAGGUCUUACACAGCCAAAAAAUGCUAAAUUAUGUAAUAAAUCAUACACACUAAUUAACUCUAUAUGCUGAAUUCGCCAAGACUCUUUGGUCUAAGCUUGUUAUUUCCAUUUUAACAUGAAAUUAUUCACUUGGUCAAUUACAGAUGUAGAUUUCAACCAGAGAUACCACAUGGAGGCGGCCAUUCCCUCCUCAGGUGUCC
rnacentral:lncRNA from 1 species